AAAUUCCUGGAAUUUGAGGUAAAAUUGAUUUUUGUACUAAUCUACGAUAAUAAUUGCUAAUUGUUUAGAAUGAGUUUCCACAAACGAACUUGUUUUGCUGUGGUGGGCUUCCCAUUUAAAUCUGGGCCUCUCUUUCGGUUUCCGCGUCCGAAAAAAGAGCCACUUUUUGCCAGACUAAAUUAAGAGCUCCAGUGUGUUCAAAAGUCUGUUCCCCAACUCAUUGCGUUCUGUUAAUAUUUGUCAAGAAACAUACACGUAAGAAUGUAACAGUGAGGAGUUCCGGAAACAUGUGUCGUCGGUGUCGGUACCAAAAGUCAGAUGAAAAUUGAUUUUUCACCAGAAGUUAGCAAUCCCACUAUUGAUCUGUCUUUUUCCACAACACAAAAAGAAGAUGUAGAAUUAUCGAAAAUGUGGUUUUAUAGUCCACGAAAAAGAGUGACUCCAGUGGAAGGUAUAAAUAAAUACAUACAGGGAAC